rnacentral:rRNA from 1 species
CCUACGGGGUGCAGCAGUGAGGAAUGUUGGUCAAUGGACGAGAGUCUGAACCAGCCAAGUAGCGUGAAGGAUGACUGCCCUAUGGGUUGUAAACUUCUUUUAUAUGGGAAUAAAACGUUCCACGUGUGGGAUUUUGUAUGUACCAUAUGAAUAAGGAUCGGCUAACUCCGUGCCAGCAGCCGCGGUAAUACGGAGGAUCCGAGCGUUAUCCGGAUUUAUUGGGUUUAAAGGGAGCGUAGGUGGAUUGUUAAGUCAGUUGUGAAAGUUUGCGGCUCAACCGUAAAAUUGCAGUUGAAACUGGCAGUCUUGAGUACAGUAGAGGUGGGCGGAAUUCGUGGUGUAGCGGUGAAAUGCUUAGAUAUCACGAAGAACUCCGAUUGCGAAGGCAGUUCACUGGACUGCAACUGACACUGAGGCUCGAAAGUGUGGGUAUCAAACAGGAUUAGAUACCCUUGUAGUC